rnacentral:rRNA from 1 species
GAUGAACGCUGGCGGCGUGCCUAAUACAUGCAAGUCGAGCGAACAGACGAGGAGCUUGCUCCUCUGACGUUAGCGGCGGACGGGUGAGUAACACGUGGAUAACCUACCUAUAAGACUGGGAUAACUUCGGGAAACCGGAGCUAAUACCGGAUAAUAUAUUGAACCGCAUGGUUCAAUAGUGAAAGACGGUUUUGCUGUCACUUAUAGAUGGAUCCGCUCCGCAUUAGCUAGUUGGUAAGGUAACGGCUUACCAAGGCAACGAUGCGUAGCCGACCUGAGAGGGUGAUCGGCCACAAUGGAACUGAGACACGGUCCAGACUCCUACGGGAGGCAGCAGUAGGGAAUCUUCCGCAAUGGGCGAAAGCCUGAAGGAGCAACGCCGCGUGAGUGAUGAAGGUCUUCGGAUCGUAAAACUCUGUUAUUAGGGAAGAACAAAUGUGUAAGUAACUAUGCACGUCUUGACGGUACCUAAUCAGAAAGCCACGGCUAACUACGUG